GCGCACUACAAAGCUUCUCGCUUCGGUUCAGGAGCCCAUGGGCAUUGUCUUUUGAUUCAGUGCAGUGGCAAGGGACACAAGAUCCAGACCUACAGGUCGGCAACAAGGAGAAUGAUUAGAUCUAGAAGACUGAGAUCAAUCUUUAUCUAGUUGAGGGCUAAGCCCGAGAGCUAUCUUUCCAGCCGGUUCAACAUAAGCUUUCGGGAAGAGGGGUAGUCUUGUGUGUAAGCAUAGCAUUUCUGGUCGAACCCGCCCAACCCAACUAAGACGAACCGAACCUGACAGACACAUCUUUUUCCUUUUGGGAGGGUACUCCGAGUAGUGGGUACCUCGUAGGACCUCGACCUGUGGCUUCUCCUUGAUUCGGAUGGAGCCUUAAAUCCCGGCGAGCAGAAGAAGGAUUCCAUCACCACCCAGCACCCAAAACCAGUACCCGCCCAACCAGCAACUAGAGCUGUAUGCAUUAUAUG
rnacentral:lncRNA from 1 species